GUCCAGCCGUAAACUUUAAAUUACCCCAUAUACCGCCAGGGAACUACGAGCUAAGCUUAAAACCCAAAGGACUUGACGGUACCCCAUGUCCCUCUAGAGGAGCCUGUCCUAUAAUCGAUAACCCCCGUUUAACCUCACCAUUUUUAGCUAAUCAGUUUGUAUACCUCCGUCGCCAGCUUACCACGUGAGCGAAGUAUAGUGAGCUUAAUGUCCACACGCCAACACGUCAGGUCAAGGUGCAACAAAUAAAAUGGAAAGAGAUGGGCUACACUUUCUAAUUUAGAAAAUACGAAAAACUAUUUAUGAAAUUCUAGUUUGAAGGCGGAUUUAGUAGUAAAAAGAAACCAGAGUGUUCUUUUUAACAAGGCCCUGGGGUGUGUACACACCGCCCGUCACCCUCUUCAAAGCUAUUUAUUAGUUAUUAACAAAUUUUUGCAUUAUAGAAGAGGCAAGUCGUAACAUGGUAAGUAUACCGGAAGGUGUG
rnacentral:rRNA from 1 species